rnacentral:lncRNA from 1 species
UCGUGAUUUACAGGAGCCAAGAAAAGGGCUCUUACAAAGCCCUAAAACUCACAAGAAAUCCAACAAAAAUCGAAGAUAGAACAAGCUAAAAAUUGGGGCUUUUAAUAAAUUUGUGAUCACCCAAGCUAGAAGAUUGCAAGUUUGACUCUGACAAGCUAGGUAGGAGCUUGGAAAUGAACGGGUCAAAUGGAUACAAGUUCAAGUAUGAAGCUCGCAAGGAUGCAAGGAGUAGAUAUCCAAUGGAUACUCGCAUCGCUCUUAAUUAGCAAUUAUAAAGCAAGGUACAUUUUGAAUGCCGGAAGACGAUUAAGCUCAUUGGAGAACCGAAUACGAUAAAGAUACAUGCUUCCGCACAGUGUCCCGUCGUAAAUUUUAAACGACGAAUUCAAUUACGUUAUGUCGAAUAACUUAUGAUUUGUAAAAGUUUUAAUAAACC